UGAUCUCACAACUCUGAGAUUGUGACCUGAGCUGAAACCAAGAGUUGGCACUCAACCAACUGAGCCACCCAGGCAAGGUCACCUGGGUGAUAGCUAUUUAUAUUACUGGUUAAUUUUUCCUAAAGCUAGGUUACCUCCUAAGAACUUCAAAGAGUCAGGCAAAUCAGAGUCCAAUAAGUGUCUAUAUACUGCCUCUUGUGAUUAGUAUGAUUGGACCAGAUAGAGAAAUCUAAAGAUCAGCAUAGAUCUAAAUUAAAUAGCUUCAGUGCUGAUGUCAUCAAUCCCUGAUGCCUCUGUGCCUUCUUCUACCACACCCCCUAUUUGUAAAGCAGGAAGAGGGACAAAAAUGGAAAACUAGGAUGAGCAAGUCCCACCAGAGUUCCUUCUGUCUUCUGCCCAGAGAGCGAUAGCAGCAACUUGCUCAUGGAGUCUCAAGUUUUAAUCUUGAAGAAUAUGACCUAACUUCUUUGGGAUCUGGAAGUUGGCAGGGAGCAUCUUAUUCUAUUUCCGCUUUCUCACGGAUGACGUUUCUGGAAUCAGAUAUGCUCAAUUUGGCUCCUCAAUUUGCAAUCCUCAAAGGAGAGAGGCCAGAUGAUGCAGUCUGGCAGACUUUUCUGCCCUUCUUUGCUUCAAAAUUAAAAAUGUGUGUGUAUGUGCAUAUUUGAGCGCAUACACAGUUUGCGGAUCUGAGGUAUGGGUAUUGUGGCCUGGCCCUCGUCCCGCCACUAACUAGCUGC